GAUGAAACGUGUAUCCCAGAUGGGGGGUUUACCAUCGUAGAGUUUUCGGGUGGAAAGUUAGUCGUGAACAGUACUUUGUGCAAGAUUUGGUUGGAAAUCUUACACAGUACAGGGGAGGAUGUGUGAAAUGGAUGAAUUAUGGUAAAUUCGCUCAAGUGCCUAAUUAUCUGCGCUUGAGUCGAAACAACAAGGCAAUUCAAUCCAUCCCAAGGCGAAGAGUACAGUUUCUCGAGAAGCAUGGUUUCAAUCCAGACGUGGCCAUCGUGGUUCUCGAAGGUAUCAAUGCUUUCGACAUCGAGAAGACUAGAGAGAUAGAUGUUUGUGAUAUUGCUGGUAUAAAGUUUGACACACCUUUUGGCAGACUUCCAAAACAUGGACUGGCGACGAAGAACGUGCACUGCAGCAUCCACGCCAGCAAGCAGAUUGGAACGACACAUCACAUAAACUACCGUUAUGUUUUCCGUGGAACACUUUCCUGAGAAUAACAGUUAGUAGGCUGUAUCAAAAUUUGUUACACGGCAAAUAGCAAUGGAUCGUUCAUCUGUUUUUCCAGCUAUCGAACAUAGAUUGACAAAGACCCGGCUAACGGCUCAAUGGACUACGACAUCGGAUGUUUAGCUUAAACUUGGUGAUGGAACUCCCACUUGUUAUUGAUAAGAUCAAAACUAAAAAAUAGGGUUUGCUGCUUUGGUGAGAUUUGUUGGCCAACCACUCCAAGUCUCGGCAAGGCAGCAAAUAUCCAAAAAAUAUGAAGUUACGAAUAGCAAUAUUUAGCUCUAGCGUGGUUAGAGGUAUUUAUUUCAUUCAUAAGCAUUUUGUUUUCCUAGCUUUAAGCAAUAUUGAAUGCAGCUGGGUUCUUGCUGAUUAAGCCUAACAUUUAGUUUCUGAAAAUGUGUUUUAAGGAUAUUAUUCAAUAUUGAACCGUGCAAGUUUUUACAAACUCCCUUCACAACACCAAACACAAUCCUUGCAAUAUGAAAUGGUAUAAUUUAUCCAAAUUUAUUAUUCCAAAUGACAAUGAAUAUGAUAUUUAAUCAACUAAAUGAAAUUGAUAUUAAUGGUAGUGGUAUUCCGUUCAACAUAUUAUUAUACGAUCCUUUUAAUGAUUCUCAAAACGAGCGAAGUUGGAGGAUAGCAUGAUGAAUAAUAGCUACUGCAUACGUGACACGCGAUGCGACAACACCAAUAAUUAGAAUUAUACGCUAUUAUUAUACACGAUUACAUAGAUGAUCACGUGCUUCCGAGCGCGAAUCGAUUAAAUCAAUUCAAUGAUUACAAAUACACUCUUUUUCUGAGAAUAUUGUGUAACUGGCAUAAUGCCAAGACACAAACACAACAACACAAAACAUUCCCUAGGGUUAAGGGCUUAAAAGGAAAAGGUAGUUUUGUAGUUCUUAGGAUAUAAGAUGAUGAAAAAAUGACACUUGGUAUUAGUUUUAAGAAAUUUUCGAUGAUAAUUGAAAAGUAUUAUUAAACAUUUUGAUUUCAGAAGAUGUUUUGCAACCCCCAUGAAGUAAAUACUCAUUAAUAUUUGUAA